UCUAGAACCGUUGAAAUAAAAUUUCAAAACAAUAUUAGAUACGUGAAGGUUAAAGAUAAUCUGCUAAAAAAAUCGGUAAUCACCGAAAAUUAUCCAGAAGGAAGCAAAUUGGAAUAUUCUGAAAAUGGAAAAACAUUUUUGUUGGAAACUGAUGAGCAUCACUAUCAUUUAGAGCAAAAUGUCGAGGUUUACGACGUUGUUGUAUCAACAGUUACUCCAAUUCCAAAGGACCUUGGUGCAAACAAGAGGAAAAGGUUUCACGAAAUAUGUAGUGAAUUAGAUAAAAAUGAUUUGGAGAAAUCGACUAAAAAGAAAACGUCUGGUCCAAAAAUUGGUAAUAAACGCCAGCAAAAAAUUGUCAAAGAAACAAAGAAACAUGUUUUCUUUACUUGGUGGCACAAAAAAAAAUUUUGAAGGAUCAUUUGGUACUACUGGUUCUUUAGGAGGAAAAAGAAAAAUUACUUUAAAAGAAAACGUAGAUUAUACUUUGGAGACAUUGACAGAAGAAAUUUUGAAGCAAUAUGUCGAUAAAGACAAUAAACAUUUAUUUGAAACAUCGUUUGUUUACCUUGCCACAAAUCAAGAACAAUUUAUCUCAAAAUUCGUGAACAAGGAAGGACACGAA